UAUAGCUUAGUGGUAGAGUGUAUACUUAGCAUGUAUGUACAAGGCCCUGGGUUCAAAUCCCAGUA
rnacentral:tRNA from 1 species